UUUCUUCUCAUAGGCUUAUUAUUAUUAUUUUGUAAAAUCUCUUAUUUCAGGUAGCCUGCCUCCUCACUUUCAAAUACCUGAGGCUGACCAUGCUGGAAAUGCUGUCAUUUCACCUCUGAGAGAAUGAUUAAAUCUUCCUUCGAGGGGUGCCCCUUCAUUGCCCCCUGGACUGGAUCUGCCCCCACACUCAGUGAACGCUCUUGUAUAUAGGUCAUAUUCAGGGAGCUGCUGCACUGCCACUGAAUCCCCCCAAAAUCACAUUCUGUGAACAGAAGAAAGAAGGGUGCCACAUCUGGGAGGGCCAGAUGCCUGUGUGAGAAAGACAUUUUGGAAAAGAGCCUGUUGCCCACAGUGGACUGUAUACAGAAUAAAAUAAUCAAAAGCUGCGUCAGGGCAAGGCGUGACUUCUGCAGGGCUGGAACACAGAGGUUGUCAAAGAAAAUGGAAAACCGUUUGAAGACAAACAAAAGAAGAGUGGAACAAGCAAUAUCGGGGAUCAUGUUUAAGGAGAGCUGA
rnacentral:lncRNA from 1 species